rnacentral:rRNA from 1 species
GCCUAUGGCCAUGCCACCCUGAACAUGCCUGAUCUCGUCUGAUCUUGGAAGCUAAGCAGGGUCAGGCCUGGUUUGUACUUGGAUGGGAGACCACCUAGAAAUACCUGGAGCUGUAGGCU